rnacentral:rRNA from 1 species
GACGAACGCUGGCGGCGUGCCUAAUACAUGCGAGUCGAACGAGAGCGACCGGUGCUUGCACUGGUCAAUCUAGUGGCGAACGGGUGAGUAGCACGUGGGUAACCUGCCCAUCAGGGGGGGAUAACAUCCGGAAACGGAUGCUAAAACCGCAUAGGUCUUCGAACCGCAUGGUUUGAAGAGGAAAAGAGGCGCAAGCUUCUGCUGAUGGAUGGACCCGCGGUGCAUUAGCUAGUUGGUGAGGUAACGGCUCACCAAGGCCGUGAUGCAUAGCCGACCUGAGAGGGUGAUCGGCCACAUUGGGACUGAGACACGGCCCAAACUCCUACGGGAGGCAGCAGUAGGGAAUCUUCCGCAAUGGACGCAAGUCUGACGGAGCAACGCCGCGUGAGUGAAGAAGGUUUUCGGAUCGUAAAACUCUGUUGUUAGAGAAGAACAAGUGCUAGAGUAACUGUUAGCGCCUUGACGGUAUCUAACCAGAAAGCCACGGCUAACUACGUG